rnacentral:rRNA from 1 species
AGGGUUUGAUCAUGGCUCAGAACGUACGCUGGCGGCACGCCUAACACAUGCAAGUCGAACGCAGUAGCAAUACUGAGUGGCAGACGGGUGAGUAACAUGUGGGAAUCUGCCUUGUGGUUCAGGACAACAUUGGGAAACCGAUGCUAAUACUGGAUAAGCCCUUACGGGGAAAGUUUUAAUGCCAUAAGAUGAGCCCGCAUUUGAUUAGUUAGUUGGUGAGGUAAUGGCUCACCAAGACAAUGAUCAAUAGCUGAUCUGAGAGGAUGAUCAGCCACACUGGGACUGAGACACGGCCCAGACUCCUACGGGAGGCAGCAGUGGGGAAUCUUGCACAAUGGAGGAAACUCUGAUGCAGCGAUGCCGCGUGAGUGAAGAAGGCCUUUGGGUUGUAAAGCUCUUUUGUAGGGGAAGAUAAUGACUGUACCCUAAGAAUAAGGUCCGGCUAACUUCGUGCCAGCAGCCGCGGUAAUACGAAGGGACCUAGCGUAGUUCGGAAUUACUGGGCGUAAAGCGCGCGUAGGCCGUUGAGUUAGUUAAUUGUGAAAUCCCAAAGCUUAACUUUGGAACUGCAAUUAAAACUGCUCGACUAGAGUUUGAUAGAGGAAAGCGGAAUACAUAGUGUAGAGGUGAAAUUCGUAGAUAUUAUGUAGAACACCAGUUGCGAAGGCGGCUUUCUGGGUCAACACUGACGCUGAGGCGCGAAAGUAUGGGUAGCAAAGAGGAUUAGAUACCCUCGUAGUCCAUACCAUAAACGAUGAUUGCUAGAUGUUGGAAAUUUAUUUUCAGUAUCGCAGCUAACGCAUUAAGCAAUCCGCCUGGGGAGUACGACCGCAAGGUUAAAACUCAAAUGAAUUGACGGGGACCCGCACAAGCGGUGGAGCAUGUGGUUUAAUUCGAAGAUACGCGCAGAACCUUACCAACCCUUGACAUGUCUGUCGCGAGUUUAGGAAACUAGACUUUUCGGUUCGGCCGGACAGAACA